rnacentral:tRNA from 1 species
GGGCGUGUGCCCGAGUGGUUAAAGGGGACGGGCUGUAAACCCGUUGCUUCGGCUACCUAGGUUCGAAUCCUAGCGCGCCCA